rnacentral:tRNA from 1 species
GGGGAUUUAGCUCAGCGGCAUAAGCGCCUGCCUUGCAAGCAGGCAGUCAUAGUUCAAUCCCUG